UGAAACCGCGAAAGGCUCAUUAAAUCAGUUAUGGUUCCUUAGAUCGUACCCACAUUUACUUGGAUAACUGUGGUAAUUCUAGAGCUAAUACAUGCAAAUAGAGCUCCGACCGGAGACGGAAGGAGCGCUUUUAUUAGAUCAAAACCAAUCGGCGGCGGGUCAAACCGUCGUCGUACUCUUUGGUGACUCUGAAUAACUUAUUGCUGAUCGCACGGUCUAGCACCGGCGACGCAUCUUUCAAAUGUCUGCCUUAUCAACUGUCGAUGGUAGGUUCUGCGCCUACCAUGGUUGUAACGGGUAACGGGGAAUCAGGGUUCGAUUCCGGAGAGGGAGCCUGAGAAACGGCUACCACAUCCAAGGAAGGCAGCAGGCGCGCAAAUUACCCACUCCCGGCACGGGGAGGUAGUGACGAAAAAUAACGAUACGGAACUCAUCCGAGGCUCCGUAAUCGGAAUGAGUACACUCUAAACCCUUUAACAAGGAUCAAUUGGAGGGCAAGUCUGGUGCCAGCAGCUGCGGUAACUCCAGCUCCAAUAGCGUAUAUUAAAGUUGUUGCGGUUAAAAAGCUCGUAGUCGAAUCUGUGUCCCGCGCCGCCGGUUCAUCGCUCGCGGUGUCUAACUGGCGUGUCCGCGGGACGUCCUGCCGGUGGGCUUAGCUCUUCGGGGCGGCCCAACUUGAAAUCCCACCGCGGUGCUCUUCAUUGAGUGUCGAGGUGGGCCGGCACGUUUACUUUGAACAAAUUAGAGUGCUUAAAGCAGGCUAAAAUUUCGCCUGAAUACUGUGUGCAUGGAAUAAUGGAAUAGGACCUCGGUUCUAUUUUGUUGGUUUUCGGAA
rnacentral:rRNA from 1 species